UCCUCCCACUCUCUCCUCGGUCCCCCACCCAGCCUGACCACAUUAUAGCAGCUUGUUAAGCCUGACAGUAGUGCAAUUGUGGACAUUACAAAUUAAUGCAGUGUGAGUGUGUGUGUGUGUGUGUGUGUGUGAUGCUGUGUCUGUGUACUACAUCCUGUCUGAUUAAAGGUGGGAGUUUUUUUCUGCUGCCCCUCUCACCAGAUGAGACACACAGGACGGCCUGCUAGGGUGCCAGUCUCUACAGAGUUGAGAAGUAAACAUGGGGGAUCACUAUCCCUCAGGCAACCUCACAUGCGUCAUCAUAUAAGCAAUAGCUGCACUGCAGAUUAUGACCAUUGGGUGGCAUCAAAGCAAUGAUGGUUGUUCAUCGGCUCUUUCUGGUUACACAAGAGCACACGUAUUAGCCACAGGAGGGAGUGAAGAUCUGCGAUUUCAGUGCUUUGCUCUGGCUGUGGUGAAACAACAGCUCAACACGAGAGACUUUUGUACUGAGCUGUCCUGCCAAAUGACCCUUAUCUGUUCCUGCAACCUCGUACAGUCUGUUCCAUUAAACAUUUUGAAAGAUUAA